rnacentral:lncRNA from 1 species
CCUUCUUUCCCAAACCAAACCUUAUCUGUUCUCCUCCAUUCCCCCAAAUUGACCAGACCACCAGUCUGUCACUCGCUUCUCACUGCUGCCAACCGCUGGUCGCCGGUCUUGCCAACUCUCGCCGCCCUCUGCAGUGAGGGCCCUCCAGGCCUCCACGCCAGGUGCCGGGUGUUGGCUGCUGGUGCUUCUCCUUCUCUCACUGCUUCUCCGCUCACGCUGCAUGCUGCCGUGCAGUGGACCGCUGAUGCUGCCGCCGGCUAGUAAACUAAACAGUGAACUGUUGUUGAAGCGUCGAAGGAGCAAGACUGCUGCAAGAGCAAAGGUAUUUUUUCAAAUUAAUUAAAGGAAAAGGAUUCAAUGAUGUUCUUCAUAGACUUGCGUAAUGUUUUGAUUGCCAUGUAAUUUUUUAAGUUAUGUAUUGUGUGCCAAAUCUCGAUAGCCUAACCAUCUAUGAUUUUUGUGCUAUGUACAUCAGUAAUGAAGUACAAUUUCAGAUCCAUCAUUCAUUCAUGCUUUUCGGGCUAUGCUUUUUUAGUAGUAUCGGACAGUCAGCCGUCUUCUGAUUCAGAAAAGAGGUGACAGUGAUUUUGAAUUUUUGGCUCAGGUAACAACCAUGGUCUAGGAGAGCAUAUCUGUAGUUAUUGGUUGUAGGCAUCUUUUGGUCAGUCCGGUGUGUUCUACAGUUGUGGCUAUGGAGCACUUUUGGCCAGUUCGGUGUAUUCUACAGUUGUGGUUAUGGAGCACUGGAUAACAGUAGUAAUUAUCCACAAGACCAGGUAUGUUGGUGUUCCAUUCUCAUAAUUACAGAUAACACUAUAUUUGCUAGGUUAAUUAAGUAAGGUACAUACCCUUGCCUUGAGGCGGAAGGGAGUGGGGUGGGUACAACAUCGAUAACAUGUGAGGUGGCGAUGAGCCCGGCCAGAUGGCUCAUCGUUCCACGGUAGAAGAACAACGGAGCAGGCGCAAAGAAUCUUCAGCAAUAACAGAAAACAAAAAUUACAAUUUUUCAGCUAGACAACACACCAGAACUAUCUCAAUCAUGAACUGACAUCUAAAACACCAGAAACUGAAGAACGUUAUAGCAGCACAAAUCUUCAUCUUCAUAAGAAAAUCAAUCUUAAAUUAGGCAAGGGCAUUGAUAUGCAAAUUUGAGAUAGAAAAAUGUUUAUUUUCCUAGGUAAUAACUCGCAACUGGUCUACGAAUACACUGAAUAAAAAGAUAUGUAGAUUAAACAUGAUAUCCUACUGAUAGAAACGAAUGGAGUUUUGUUCUUGGUUGAAAUCUGCAAGGAGGUACUCCCUCCGUCCGAAAAUACUUGUCAUCAAAAUAGAUAAAAAGGGAUGUAUCUAGAACGAAAAUACAUCUAAAUACAUCCCCUUUUAUUCAUUUUGAUGACAAGUAUUUCCGAACGGAGGGAGUAGUACCUAAAGGCUAAAGGACUCCUCAGCUAGAGGCCACACAAGUAAAGGUAGCCCCUGACAAAGAGCUCAUGCUCUUGUAUAUCUGUUCAGUUUGUGCACAACAUCAAAGCAAUUUGUAAGGUGAUCCUCUCGGGCCAUGUAGUAUGGUUUGCUUACAGUUUUAGCAAAGCUCUCAUAGAUGAUGAAUAAGCAUUAGGUUCUGGGGCAAAAAUGUCUUAAUAUAUAUUCUGAAUAAAUUGUAUCAAUUAAGUUAACUCCAUUAUGUAGGGAUGGAAAAUCAAGCAAAAUGCAGUAGAAAAUGUAUAUUUUACAUAAUUUAACAAGAGUUUCCACAUUUGCCUUCAGAGGCUUGAAAUUACUAAACAAAUCAGAGGAAAAAAUGGGAAGAUCUACAUCGCUUAUUUUAGCAGAUCUAGAUUAUAAGGUGCAAAGGUAUGUUCCAGAGAAUAGCAGUCCUGAAGAACACAGAUGGCCCAAAAUCAAUUGCCUUUAGAGAACUCUUCUUAUUUGUGUGUAACUUGUCUAGUUUAAGGUCCUGAUGGAUGACACCAUUCCUAAUGGCACAUCUGUCAUAAUAUAUAAUAAAAAGAAUAUGUGUCAGAUGUCACAAAACAACCCAAUAUUGGAAGAAACACUUGUGGAACAAAAAUCUGGACUGAAGGUAACAAUCAAUGGUGGAACCCUAUGUAGUUUUCAAUGACAUGACAAAUUUACAUAAUUCUCGGAGAAGCAUGUAGCAUAUUUUGUAUCUCUGGAGUUCAACAUGGCAAUAUUUUGUAUCUACAAUACUUUGUUUCAUCAUGUGUUUUAAAGGUCAGGAACUACCCAUGGUUUGCUGGGGUAGUGAAGGCUGUGGUUUUUUCGAAGGUGGUCCAGGAUAUUCCUAUGAACUGAACAUUAAACAGAUUGGAAAUGAGAAAACACUUGCCACUGCUCGCUCCUGGCAUCGUCCACAACCCUUCCUCAGCUGAAAAGAAUGACAUAAACGUUCAAAAAAAUUUGAGCUCUAAACUCAGUGCAUUUAUUGAAAUCAGACCGCCAAACAUAAUAGCAAAUACAAAUAAAAGUCGAUGCGAGCUCCAGACCUACCGUCAAAAAGAUAUCAGAUAGCUAAUGAAAUUAAGGAUCAUUCUUCAACACAGAUCGGAAUUUUUUUAUUAUUGCUCCUUGAAUUCCUAACUCCUAAGCUCGAGAACGCUCAAAUGCUUCUAUAAAAGCUUUAGACCACCAAUAACAUCAUAAACCAUGUAUGUAGGCAUUGCUCGAAAAAAUCAGUAAAAUAAGCAAACAAAAUCUCAGUUAACCACCUUGUACACAAAACAAAGGACAUUUAAAUUCCGAAACCUGAAGAUAUGCUACAGGAGCACAGGUAUGUUUGAUAGAAACUAAUGUACAUGUAUAUGCAUGAUUACUAAAUAUGGCAAGCCUUAGUUUCGUUUGGAGGAAGUGGUUUGCUUAAGGUCAUUCAUCCUUCCCACUUUACUUAUACAAGUGUGACAACAAAACCAUUACAACACAAGGCAACAAUACAUAUUAUGUGGUAGCAGGAAUAGGAACUUGGGUGUAUUUUAGUUCAGAGAUAUAGAAGUGAUAAGUGAUCUAGUUUAGGGCACAUACUCCCUCCGUUUCUUUUUACUCCGCGUAUAAGUUUUGGUCAAAGUCAAACUACACAAAGUUUGACCAAAUUUAUAUUAAAACAUAUAAACAUCUACAAUACUCAAACUAUAUAAUAUGAAAAUACAUUUGAUGGUGAAUCUGAAAAUGUUGAUUUCAUAUUGUGAAUGUUGAUAUAUUUUUAAUAUAAAGCUAGUCAACUAUGCAAAGCUUGACUUUGACCAAACCUUAUAUGCAGACUAAAAAGAAAUGGAGGGAGUACCAACAAGUAGUUACAAGAGAAAACAUUUGUUCACAGUAAGUUAGUAACCCUAAAGGAUCUACCUACUCGGAGAAAUUCAUAAGAACAAAACUGCAUAUACAGUAAAACACAAUGAGCUUUGAAUCAAAGUAUAACUAUUUGAAAAUCUUUGGAGAAGAUCAAACAAUACAUCCUUGCAUCACUACUCGGGGUCACUAACGGAGGCGCCAAUUCCUUCGAGCAGGGGAAAGGGGAAUUGAAGGUGCCAAGCACAAGAACUGGAAGGGGGGGGAUGAAAACCUCAAACCCUACCAUUUGAAGAGCAGAGGAUAUAUAUUUAGGCACUCACAGAAAUAAUCACCGGAGGGCAUGUACAGAUACAAGUAGGUGGUGGCAUCGCCGUCUCAGCUUGGUUGUCCAAGCAACACAGAAUGUCCUGAUCACCACAGUUGCAAUUGAAAGUGUUUGCAACUCUACGAAUUAUAUAUAUAUGUAUAUAUAUAUAUAUAUAUCCAAGGAUUUAAUUAGGAGUUUAUUCUGCACAAUUUCUGAGAACACACACUCACAAGCAAUUCGUUGAGUAGACACCUUAGAAAUAAAAUUACAUUGUGAAGAAUACUAUUUAUCAAACAGGUGAAACAAACUAAUCAGGUGCAUCUUCGUGAGCAAAGAAAAAGGCAGACCAAAAUCUAUAGGAUAUGAGGCAGGCAGGCAGGCAGGCACUUCCAUCCCUAGAGGGGGCGUUGAGGGUCGGCGACCAUCACCUUGACGCUCGGCCCACGGGACUGCCAGGCAGGCAGGCAGGCAGGCAGGCAGGCACUUCCCAUCCCUAGAGGGGGCGUGGAGGGUCGGCGACCAUCACCUUGACGCUCGGCCCACGGGACUGCCAGGCAGGCAGGCAGGCAGGCAGGCAGGACAAACAAAAAUAAUACAUAGGGCACAACAAUGACAAGGCAUUUCUAGAUGCGAAAAUUGUAGUGCAAUUAGAUGAAAAAAUAUGAGCCGGACAUGAACACUCGGUAGGCUAAUUAACCAGAGGAAAGAAACGGCCACGACCUAAACUUUGAAUCUCACUUACGUCUCUAUUCCUCGCCCUUCUGCUACCUCACAUCCCAAUCCUUUUUCCCUUCCCUCUGUAUCUUGCCACACGACCAUGACGGAUUGCGGUUGUUCUUGGCCAAUCUCUACAAAAAUCAAUAAGCAGAGAAGCUGAACCAAUCUCUACAAAAACCAAAAGAAAAAAAUGUGCACACACAAGCACAUAUCAGCCAGUUCUAGCAUGCAUCCAUCCAUCAAAGCAUUAAGCCAUCAGCCAUCCAUUAGAGAAGUGAAAAAAGAAAGGAUUCAAACUUACACAUCAAUCCAUCUAAGCAUUAGGCCAAAGCCAGUGGGAGCGAAGUGCUCUGAUGAAUCCGCUUUGCACAACUCUGAUCCCCUCGCGCAUCUCGGCGGCGACGCAACCCCGGCCCCUUCACUUACCUCUACUGCGGCGCUAACCUGACCGCCUUUCUCUACCUUGUCCCUUCUCACGUCGCCCCCGAUCGACAUCCAGACAAAGGGCGCAUGCGGCUUGGCCCAAGCUGUGCGUGGCAGUGGAUCCACGGCGGCGGCGGCAGCGUCCUGGGGAUGCUAAUCCGUGACGGGCGAUGUAUCCUAGGCUAGGUGGGAGAGAUUGCUCUUACUUUACACAUUGAGAGAGACAGACACAAGGGCUUGAUUCGUUCCUCACAUGCAGGCUAGGCGGGAGGAUUAGAUAGCUGUUGUUGCUGUUUUUUCAAUCUCCCCUCAAGUCUUGUGUAGACUACUAGUGAGAUUUAAUCACACUGCGUAUAUAUGCUCAACCAAACAUGGCCAAUUCAAGCUGCCGUAGGAAAUAAUCUAAUCCAUGAUGGAUUAUGCGCCAGUUUAUCCUCAUCCUAGAUCCAUCACUACCACUAAUCGACACAUCAGCAAGCUGCAGUCUUGGUAGGGAGGGGAAAGGAAGGAGGAAGAGGCGUACCUUGGGCGUACAGGUCUGUAGCCCGACGAGAGGGAGAUGCUGCAGAUGUCGCCGGCGUCGAGGUCCACCGCGGCAGCAAGCACCCUCAUAUGCCUUACCCCAGCACCGAGAGCAGGGGUUGGAUCCCGAAGCUGACGGCUAGGCUUGGGUUCGUCGUCGGCCUACAGCCCGACGGGAGGGAGAUGCUGCAGAUGUCGCUGGCGUCGAGGUCCACCGCGGCAACAAGCACCCCCAUAUGCCUUGCCCAAGCACCGAGAGCAGGGGUUGGAUCCCGAUGCUGACGGCUAGGCUAGGGUUCGUCACCGACCUCCAUCCGGAUGCUGCGGAUGCGGAUCCGGCGGCGUUAUCGCCGUAAUAGAUUCGUGGCCAUCUCUGCCGCCCCAUCAUCCGGAUCCUCGGGAGAGGAUGAUCGGAUCGGAGGGUGGCGGCAGCGAGAUCGCACGAGAGGACGGCGGCUCUGUGUCGUCUAGGGGAUCGAUAGGUAUGGUUUUUUGGCUGCAUAGGUGGGAGGGGUGGUGGGGGGAGGGGGACGGAAAAAAACCGGAGGUGGGAGGAUGAUGAAAAAAACCCAGCGAAAAUAAACCGCGUAGACUAUUCACCAAGUCGUCCAUUAGGAGUAGAGAUCAUCAAUAUUAAUGAAGCAGGAAGUAGGGUUUUACCUCCAUUGAGAGGGCCCGAACCUGGGUAAACACAUGUGUCCCUUACUUCUUGCUACCAUCAGCCUUGACGCACAGAUCGGGACCCCCUAUCCGAGAUCCGCCGUUUUUGACACCGACAAUGCUCAUGAGGUUCAUCUGAUCUUGCCAAGUCCUGUUGUGUCAGCAGUGCUUCGGAAGUAGUGUUAGGUGUGAAGGCAGCUUGGGAACUGGCCAGUUCCGGAGCAAACGAACGAGUACCUGAUUGAGAUGCUGGUACAGUUGAAGCGGAUGUUGCAGCUGGUGGAGCAGGUGAUACUGUGUUUGUAGAUUUAGCCGGUGGACUUGGACCUUCUACUGCACUAUAAGUACCAGCAGAAUCCCGACGGCAGAACCUUUUCCGUUUCACCUGACGAGUAACAACACUCCCUACUAUAUUAUUUUCCUUGCUCUUUUUUGACUUUGCCAUGUCAAACUGUACCCACAACACAAAAGAAUAAAAUCACUCUUCAGAACUCAUUGAUGCAUGAUACAGACAAGCAAUACUUUGAUGGAAGACAACGGUAUGAGGAUGGAAUAUGUAAGAAAAACAGGAUGACAUGACAUAUUCACAGCUACGAUGUGCAAACUAAGCAGAAGGAUUUUAAAGAAAAUAGAAGUAAUGCAAGCUAGAUACCAUAUGAAAGAUGCAACCAAUAUUACUCUGCCAAGUUAAAAGUGUCUUGUCAUAAGUGGUAAUUCGAAAAAUUAGAAGCAGUACAAUGUAGAAAUCAAUGCAAGAUGCAACCACUAUCAAACUGCCAUGUUAAAAGCAUCCAAUCAUAAGUUACUGAUGCAGGAUACACAACAGCAGUACUUUGAUGUAAGAACAUGGUAUGAUAGAUAGAUGCAGUGUAUUCUAGACACAGAAAACCAUGUCAUAUGCACAUGUAUAACGUAUAAACUCAGCAGGUGCAAUUUAAUCAAAAUAGAAGAAAUACAGGCUAGACAACAUAUGCAACAUGAAACCAAUUAUCACACUGUCAACUUAGAGAAAGCACCUGCGAUGGUGGAGUGCGGGAGAUGAACUCAUCAUGUAGACUUGGGACUUCAACUUCAUUAGCAGUAGCAGUGGCGAAUCUAGAGUCUCUGUUUGCGUCGGUGUGGAGUACCACCAACAUCCCCUAACUUACUCUUUUCUUUCCUAUUUUCUGAUAUUGCCUUAUGAAGUCAAAACCACAAGAGGAUGAAUAAAAUUAGCUCUGCAUAACUGGCUGAUGCAUGAUACAGACGAACACUAUUUUGAUGUAAGGCAAGCGCAGGAUAGGAGGAUGGAAUGUAUACAAAAAAAGACAGUGUUUCAUAUUCACACGUACGAUAGAAGGAUGGAAUAUGUAUGAAAAAAUAGUAAGCGGAAGGCAUUUCAACAAAACUAGAAGAAAAUGAAAGCUAGGCAUCGUAUGAACAUGCAACCAAUAUCACUCUAUCAGGUAAAAAGUGUCUCGUCGUAAGUGCCAUUUCAAGAAAUUAGAAGCAGUACAAGCUAGAAGACAAUGCAAGAUGCAACCUACAUCACAGUCCCAAGUUAAAUGUGUCUUAUGGGUAAGUGAUUGUUGCAGGUAUAAGUUGUAAGCUAUGCAGAUGCAAUUCUACAUAAUCAGAAACAAUAUAAACUAGACAUCAUACGAAAAACGCAACCACGUAUAACAGUUCCAAGUAAGAGCAAGCACCUGUGAUGGUGGAGUAGGGGAGAUGUGCUCAUCAUGUACAUGUAUGUUCUAGAAACAGGAACACGUGUCAUAUUCACAGGCAUUAUGUGUAAAGUAAGAAGAUGCAAUUCAAGUUAUAAGCAAUACAAGCUAGACAUCAUGCGCAACAUGCAACCACAUAUAAUAGUGUCAAGUUAGAGCAAGCACCUGUGAUGGUGGAGUAGGGGAGAUGUGCUCAUCAUCUACACAGCUACGUUGACUGUCCAUCCUUGUGUUGUCUUGCGAAUCUUGUUGGGAGGAUGGCGGAGUAGAAUCUGUAGAGACCCCCUGUUUGAGUUGCUCCGAAGGACCACCAUCAUCCACUGCCGGACUAAUUUCCUUCAGCUAUAAUGAUAAGAAAAAGGAAUAAAAUUUGCUCUUCAGAACUCAUUCAUGCAUGAUACUGAUGAACACUACUCGGAUGAAAGACAAACACAUGAUGCGAGGAUGGAAUAUGUAUGAAAAACAUGAUGGUGUGACAUAUUCACACCUAUGAUGUGGUAACUAAGCAAAAGACAUUUCAACAAAUUAGAAGCACUGCAAGCUAGACACCAUAUGAAAGAUGCAACCAAUAUCACUCUGCCAAGUUCAAACUGUAUGGUGUUUCAACAAAUUAGAAGCAGUAUAUGCUAGAAAUCAUAUGCAAGACAUAACCAAUAUCACAGUGGCGACUUAAAGGUGCCUUAUCAUAAGUGACUGAUGCGGGAUAUGCAAGAAUAGUAGUCUGAUGUAGAAACAGGAACACAUGUCAUAUUCACAGGCAUUAUGUGUAAAGUAAGCAGAUGCGAUUCAACAAAGUUAGAAGCAAUACAAGCUAGACAUCAUAUGCAACAUGCAACCACAUAUAAUAGUGCCAAGUUAGAGCAAGCACCUGUGAUGGUGGAGUAGGGGAGAUGUGCUCAUCAUCUAUACAGCUACAUUGACUAUCUAGCCUUGCGUUGUCUUGCGAAUCUUGUUGGGAGGAUGACGGAGUAGAAUUUGUAGAGAACCUCUGUUUCAGUUGCUCGGAAGGACCACCAUCAUCCAAUGCCUUGCCAAUUUCCUUCAGCUUUAUUGAUUUUGCAUUGUGAGGUCAUACCGACAAGAAAAAGGAAUAUCAUUCGCUCUUCAGAAGUCAUUCAUGCAUGAUACUGACGAACACUACUCUGAUGAAAGGCAAAGUCAUGAUACGAGGAUGGAAUAUGUAUGUAAAAAUGGACGGCUUGACAUAUUCACACCUAUGAUGUGGUAACUAAGAAGAAGGCACUUCAACAAAUUAGAAACACUGCAAGACACCAUAUAGAAGGUGCAAUCAAUAUCACUCUGCCAAGUUAAAACUGUCUGGUCAUAGGUGGCGUUCAUCAAACUAGAAGCAAUACAUGCUAGAAAUCAUAUUCAGGACGCAAACCAAUAUCACACUACCAACUUAAAGGUGUCCCAUCAUAAGUGACUGAUGCAGGAUACACAAGAAGAGUAGUUUCAUGUAAGAACAUAAUAUGAUAGACAGAUAUAGUAUGUACCAAAAACAGGAAAGCGUGUCAUAUUCACAUGUAUCAUGUGUAAGCUAAGCAGAUGCAGUUUACACUAAUUAGGAGCAAUGCGAGCUAGACACCAUAUGCAACAUGCAACCAGAUAUCACACUGCCAAGUUAGAGCAAGCACCUUGGGUGGUGGAGUAGGGGAGCAGAGACUUGGACCUUGUAAUGCACUAUCAGUACAAGGAGAAUCGGUACAGAUGCUCCGUUUACAUUGCUGUAGAGGACCACCAUCAUCGCCUUCCUUACUCUUUUCCUUCCUUUUUCUUUAUGUUGCCUUGUCAAGUCAAACCCACAAGAAAAAGGAAUAAAAUUUGCUCUUCAGAACUUAUUGAUGCAUGAUACUGACGAACACUACUUUCAUGCAAGGCAGCCGCAUGAUAGGAGGAUGGAAUAUGUAUGAAAAACAGGACGACGUGACAUAUUGACAUGUAUGAUGUAUAAAGUGUAAACGAAGCACAAGGUGCUUGAACUUGUUAGAAUCGAUGCAAGCUAGAAACCAUAUGAAAGAUGAAACCAAUAUCACUCUGCCAAAUUAAAAGGGUGCCCUAACAAAUGUAUUUGACCAAAUUAGAAAAAAUACAUGGCAACAUGCUAGAAAUAAUAUGCAAUAUGCAACGAAUAAAGGUGACUCAUCGUAAGUGAUUGAUGCAGGAUACAGAAGAGUGGUAGUUUCAUGUAAGAACAAGGUUAACACAUAGAUGUAGUGUGUACCAAAAAUAGGAAGGCAUGUCAUAUUCACAGGUAUAGUGUGUAAACUAAGAUGCAAUUUACCCUAAUUAGAAGCAUUACAAGCUAGACACCGUAUGCAACAUGCAAUGACAUAUCACACUGCGAAGUUGGAGCAAGCACAUGUGAUGGUGGUGUAGGGGAAGUGCUGUCUUCAAGUAAGAGCAACAUUCAAUAUCUUCAUUUAGGCUUGAUGUUUCUUAAGAAUCAUGUGGAGAGGAUGAAAUUGCAUUCUUUAUAAGAGUAUUGCGUCUCAUAUUAACCCACGCGCGUGACUGUCUCAUCAUAAGCGAUAGACGCAGGAUACACAAGAACAGUAAUUUGAUAUAAGAAUAUUGUGUGAUAGGCAGAUGUAGUAUGUACCAAAACAGGAAGGCGUGUCAUAUUCACACGUAUAAUGUGUAAGCUAAGAAGAUGCAAUUUAACAAAUUAGGAGCAUUGAUGAGGGAUACACAAGAAAAGUAGUUUGAUGUAAGAACAUGGUUAAUAGAAAGACGUAGUAUAUUUCAAAAACAGGAAGGCAUGUCAUAUUCACAUGUAUAAUGUGUUAACUAAGCAGAUGUAAUUUACCCUAAUUAGAAGCAUUAUAAGGUAGACACCAUAUGCAACAUGCAACCACAUAUCACACUGCCAAGUAAGAGCAAGCACCUGCGAUGGUGGUGUGGGGGAAUUGCGGUGAUCAACUAGAGAGCUACGUUGACUAUCUUCAUUUAGCCUUGUUAUUUCUUGAGAAUCAUGUGGGGAGGAUGACACUGCACUCUUUAAACGACUAGGGCAUCUCAUAGUAACCCACCUGGUUGACUGUCUCGUCAUAAGUGAUUGACGAGGGAUACAAAAGAGCAUUAGUUUGAUGUACGAACAUGGUUAAUAGACAUAUGUAGUAUGUAUCAAAAACAGGAAGGCAUGUCAUUAUCAAAGGUAUAAUGUGUAAAGUAACCAGAUGCAAUUUAACCAAAUUGGAAGCAAUACAAGCUAGACACCAUAUGCAACAUGCAACCACAUUUGACAGCGCAAAGUUAAAGCAAGCACCUGGGAUGGUUGUGUGUGGCAAUUGAGAUCAUCAACUACAGAGCUACUUUUACUGUCUCCAACUGCUGACAAUGCACCCAUUAGAGCGCUGAAACGCUUAGUGCUUAUCUUCGAAUUACACUGGAGCGACUUCUGUCUUUUCUUUUCUGCAUUCAUCAACACUGCGUCAGAGUCUGAAAUACCCAUGCAUAAAAAACAAUAGUGUGAGUAUGGGUGAAGUGUGUGCACAAUUAGUACAGUGUAAAGGUAGCAGAUAGCAGGUCGGUGAGAACUAAAUGAUGUGAGACAUAUGAUAGCUGUACAGCAUGCAUGGCACACUCAAUUACUACAGGAUUUUAUGAAAAUAACAGCCGACUGGAAGCAAAUAGGUCAGUCCAUUUUUUCUGCACCGUCCGAUGUACAAAGAAUGGGCUGAUCGCCUUCAUCUACCUUCAGCCAGCCAGUGGUGACUAUCUUCCUCGAAACGCCAGCGACCACCGGCCCAGUAUUCCUCCCCUGCCUGCGCCCUCCCCUCGACCUACCGCACCGCUGUGCUUGGCACCGCCCCCAGCCAUCCAUUCAAGCCCCGCUGACCUCCAGAUCGAGCGCAAGCAGCUCCUGCACCCCACACCCCUAUGAUAGACACCGAUGUGCCGCUUCCCCGGGGAACAGGCGGACUAGGUGCUCCGUGCGCCUAAGCAGGUGCUGCUUCUUUUAAUUGCGGUUCGACUGACCCUGAAUUGAAAUCCAGGCGGGCUACUGACCUCUAGCAAAGGUGAAAUAGUAAAAGGGAGGAAACCUUGUGCAUUUAGUAUCACGAAGAAGAUGCAGUAAGAAGCGCGCAACUAGUUUAUUUUAUGGGAUGAAUACGGUGUGAGCGGAGACGUAAGAUUUGCACGAAUAAGGGAAGAGGAGUACCUCUUUCUGCUGGCAGUGCUGUGUCCUCCUUCUGUUUUUCCGACGAUCUUGUUGUUCGCCGAAAACCAGAAGUUGGAGAGGAUGGUGCAGCCUUGAAAGAACCCAUGGCCAAGUUGAGUGUGGUGCGGUGGCCAUCUGUCGGCGGCGGGGAAGCGGAUCCAAGGCGGCGAACGGCGGCGUAGCGGGAACAGCUCCGGUGCGGUGAACAGUUGCGACAGUGGAGCCACAGCAGUGAGGCGCAGGACGGCAUGGUCAGAGUGGUUCUGGUACGGCGCAUGUCGGCGUCGGCAUCAUGGAGGCAGCUCUGCCUCGGCUUCAGCUGCUAAGUCCUUGAGGGCAUUGCGGUUGCGUUGGACGACAACGUCGGGGUACCAGCUCCAGCGUGAUGGAGGAGGGCGGCAGUGGAUUGGCCGCUAUGGGGUGGAGGACGGAGGAGGCUGGGGUUUCGCGGCUGGUGGUGAGGGCGUUUUCACGUCCAUGGAGUAUGAAUGGGGAAACAGAGGGAGGCGAGGAAGUAAGGGGGAACAAUGUUUCGGUUUGAGACGCGCUUGUUUGAAAUUUGGGGAAAGUUACAAACUUUGCCCCCAUCUAAAAUUUCGGACAUAUUGCGGGUUGGGGGUAGGACAGUCAUGUCAGGUGUCCCAAAUGUGGGCGUUAUAGAUUUCGGCUGAGCACAUGGGUGUUUAGGCGCCCACGGCGUAUGAAUGCUUCUCGGAGGCGGUUGAGACUGGCGUCUUGGUGAAGUUACAAACCUACCCCGGUUUAGACCUUUGGACAUUGGGCCGAUAGGCUACAUGGGCCAGAGUCAGGACAUUAAUUUCCUACCACCAAAACAUUAGUCUCGCGCGGUUUCGGGUGACCAGAGGCCUAUUUGGCGCUUCGUUCAAUAUUUGGGAGCAGAAGCAUUAACGUUUUUGGUUCUCUUGAAUUGAACUUUCAGGAUUUGUCAGACUUCACAAAUCUUCACUCUUGAAAAUCCUAAAGCUACAAUUAUUUUGGAAUGAAGGGGGUACAUUUUAAUAUACAUUGUACAUGAGCAUAUAUUAAAAAAUAUGCAACUUACCUCAGUUCAUGCAUGGUUCCAGAUAUAAUCUCCUUGGUUGCAAAAAAAAGUUAGAUAUGCGUAUGAAUAUAUAUAGCAUGUUCAAACUCACAACAAAGAUUGAUGCCCCUUUUACAUCUGAUUUACAAAUGCCAUUAUCUCGGGUUCAAAUAGAUGAAUGCACUUCCUAUGAAUUCGAAUCGUCGAAACCCCCUUUAUGCUGAAUUCGACAUGUAUUUUAUUUCGUAGCUAGCAAUUUGGAAUGUAUCCAUGCAAGUGACAAAUGUAUAAAGUGCUUCACACUAACAACAUGGAGUGCACUAAUUAAUGUUUAUAUAUGAAUUGCAAAAGCAUCCAUUGCCUGUAUUUCAAACCACUCUCACUCUAUGGAUCGAUAAUAUGAAAUAAACACAUGCACAUGCUAGAAUUCAAUAGAGUAUGGGUGUCUGAUAGACCGAUUUUCGUCCAUAUGCAAUUUUGCAAAAUUCAUGAUCUCAUCCAAAAAUAAUAAUGCCAUUUAUAUUUUAAUUUAAUGUGUAGAACUGCCUUUUACACGUAUAUGCACUAUGCCUCGCCCCGUUCUCACAAACGCGUUAUAUAUCUCUCUAUCUAACGCAUAAGUGCACACACUUUAUAUGCAUCGGCAUUUCUCUUUCACACAUGCUCACAAUCUCUCUCAGGGUGUCACGGUGUCUCACGCACAUGCUCUCUCUGUUUCUCUCUCUUUCUUUCUGACUACUAUGUACCACUCUUUUCACUAAUCUCAGUUGGAAAACACUAUUUCUCUCACAUGCAUAUAUACACAUGCACUGUCUCUACUAGCCCUCUAUAUGCACAUAUAUAUGUGCUGACGUAUCUCCCGCACGCACAUUAUCUUUAGGCCUCUCUCGCACACAUUGCCCCCUGACAAACCUCUCUAAUAGUAGUUGGCAGAUAUGAUUUCAUCAUAUCAUUCAGUAGGAUAUCCCUGGCUGUUAGGCUGGAUGGUAAUACGAGGCAAAGUUUUACCCUAGUUUGGAUCGGACCCUUGCAGUUGAAGAAAGAGCCUACUCCUGGUACUGUAUAUUAGUGAUAGGGGUGUGUACAAAGUGCACGUGAAUACCAGGGAUUGUGCGUGUGUGUAUACUAUCGACGAACUAGCCCCCAAGCUUGUAUAACAUACUAAGGGCCUAGGGUUACAAAUCAUAUACAGUCGGCUUAUCACCAGUGGGGAUAGAGUCCUCCGCAACUCUGGUAGUUUCGUGUUGUACGCCGAGUCCUCCACAUGGGUCUUCGUAUAACACGUCUCGGUCCAACCUAUAUGUGGCAUAGGAUGGAACCGAGCCAUGAGUCUUCAUGUUGACCCACCACAACUAGAAAUGAUGUGCCCACCACACCACACACACAAUCGGCCACUAAGAAAAUAAGCAUAUACAAUAGUACAACAGUAUCUAGCUCACGAUACGUCUCCAUAUUAUGUUGAUGACACUGACGGACUUUGCAUUUGAUGCGUGCUCCAUAUUUUUGACGACACUUACGGUCAUUGUAUUUGAAGCGGAAGCACGAUAUGGUCACUGGACUUCAGAAUAAGCUCAUCACGGUCACCACAUACAUUUUGUCGUGCUAACCAACAUGUGGUUGGAUGGUUAGAGGACAGUGGUUUCUCGAGCCCACCAAGGUUAAAGUCCUGGUGCUUGCAUUUAUCUUGUGUUAAUUUCAAUAUUUUCCGACGAUGUACGUUCAGUGGGAGGAGACGUUCCACUCGACUACGAGGCACCUAUGGUGACUUCGUAAAAUCUCAAGAUCAUAUAUGCUGGCCCACUCUCUCAAAGGUGCUCAUAGGGGUAGGGUUCACGUGUGUGCGCUUAUAGCGGUGAGUGCUUGCGUGUAUAUAUGAGCCCUUGCGUCUGUACCAUGUUAAACAAAUACAUGUCAUGAUUAUACUAUCACUGGCUCACCCGUACAACUCCGUAUUUUGUUGAUGACACAAUCAAUUGACCAGUCAAACGACACAACUAGUGUUGCACCAUUGGGGUGCGUAACCAUGGGGCCCACCUGUCAGCCCGUAUAUGAAAUAAAGAAAUGGUAGUUUGAGUCUGUACUGUGUUAAUAAAAUAGGAGUACAUUUUAGGUUUAUCAUACGGUCACUGGCUCAUCAUACAGCUCCGUAAUUUGUUGAUAACACGAUCAAUUGACCAGUCAAACGGUCCACAUUCAGCAGCACACAUUACCAUAGGGCCCACCCGUCAGCACGUAUAUGAAGGACAUAAAUGGUAAUAAACUAGUGGUCGGUCGAUAUUCGAAGUCGUGAGACCUCUGGUUGGCAGUCACCGGCAGUUGGGGGGCGUUCAUUGGGAGGUGGGGUNNNNNNNNNNNNNNNNNNNNNNNNNNNNNNNNNNNNNNNNNNNNNNNNNNNNNNNNNNNNNNNNNNNNNNNNNNNNNNNNNNNNNNNNNNNNNNNNNNNNNNNNNNNNNNNNNNNNNNNNNNNNNNNNNNNNNNNNNNNNNNNNNNNNNNNNNNNNNNNNNNNNNNNNNNNNNNNNNNNNNNNNNNNNNNNNNNNNNNNNNNNNNNNNNNNNNNNNNNNNNNNNNNNNNNNNNNNNNNNNNNNNNNNNNNNNNNNNNNNNNNNNNNNNNNNNNNNNNNUUCGGGGAGCGCGGGCCGGCUGCGGGCGGCGGGGGCGGGCGGUUCGACGGGUGGUGGCUGGCCGCUCAGGGGGGGUGGAGUUUGAUGAUAAACCGGAGGCCCUUGAUUUCGUAUCCAACGGAUGGAAAAUCUAAUGACCAGAGAUAAAAAAGUCAGUCGACUGACGUGUAGCCUCACCCCGCACGUACACAUGCAUGCAUGCAAGACACGCACGCAUGUAGGCGUGCUACACUGACACGUACACAUAACGUACACACGCACGCAUGCUGGCAUGCAACACUGACACAUACACAUGCACUCAUGAACACACGCACGUACGCACCCAUGCAUGCAACACUGAAACGCACCCUUGCACGCACGCAACACUCGCACGCCUGCAUGCACACAGCACAGGACGCAAGACACACGCUCAACCUAUACGUGCAUGCACCCUUUGUUAAGGACAUGGAUUGUUAUGGGUAUUAAUCAAUCUUAUCUGUGAUAAGCAGAACAUUGAUGUUUGCAUCAGUUUUUAUGAAUCACAACGUAUCGAACGGGCUAUAAACAUAGUAGGCUUAACUACAUGAAAAAGAUGACGUCACACUAAAUGAACAAUCAUCGGUUUAUGAAAUGCCCGCUUCUGACCGCCCUGGCCCACCAAAGGUUCCUCUGCUGUGCGCUGCUUGCGUUGGGUCACUGACAUGCAGGCCAUGCACCCAAAGAGCCCACACGUCAGUGGAAGAACGGCGUGGUGUCCUAGGUCAGAGUUGAGGGUGCCACUCGUGGCACACCCAGCUGAACACGCCUCCGUGCCGCAUUCAAACGCCUCCAUGAAACCCGCCCGUGUGGAAGCCGAGAAACCCACUCUGGACACACGUCCAUUCAUGACCGGGCCGGCGUUAAACGCAAUGCCGUCCGAGCUCCUCCCGUCCACUGUCUAUUCAAUCUCUUAUUUAAACGAGGCCAAACACCGGCCAAGAAUCGCACACCUCCGCCGCUCCCCUAUCUCCUCCACCAUUUUGUCCACUCUUACAAUGGCUUAGGAAGAGUAGUUAUUCAGCAUCCAAGCCGGUUGGGUAGCCCGCCGGAUACGAGCUAUGCAGCUCGCUGAUCAACCUCCCUUCCCUCGCCCGACGGAGCCAGUUGCCGCCCCAAGCCGGCGCGCGGUUCAGCAACUCGCCGCUCCAGGCCAGCUCGACGAGGAGCGGCGCAUGGGCGUCGUUGUUGCCGUCCACGCCGCCGCCUCGUACCGCGUCUCCCAUUUCUGUGGCCGAGACUCCCAUGCCGGCGGCCGCGCCAUGCAAGCAGUGAUAGAAGCCGGGUGCGCAGAGAGCGGCGAGUCGGUGGCCAGCGCCUCCGCGUCCGCUGCCAUCAUCAAGGAGAAGUAGAACAUGGGAGGCCGCCGCCGCUUGGGUCCCAUGAAGGCCACCACGGAGGCGACGCCGGCAUACACAGCAGGUGUCUUGCCUGAUCCUUUUGUUACGAGGACCUUCGUCGACCCCGCAUGGGCUCCAUGGAAGAGGGGAAUGUUAGGAUGAACUCGAGCUGGUGCCGGCCAUGGCGAAGUAGUGGCCGGUGAUGAACUCGAACCGGUGCCGGCCACCAUCAUCUUUGGCACCAGCCAAUGAUAUCAGUUGGGCAGUGGGGAAGUGAGCCGUCCUUUGCGCUGAAGCAUAUACCUCCGGGGCUCCCGGCAGUCCGGUGAUCGUGCUGCCGGACAUGAGGAACACAAAUUGAUCGGCGGGCGACCAUUUAGGCCAGGUAUUAUAUACCUGUGCUGUCCAGAACUAGCACCGCGUAGUUCAUUUGAAUGUAAUGAAAUCUGUCAUGUUUGUGUGAAAAUUCGGUGUUUUAUAUGAUUUCCGUCGUUGUUUAUAUGAAAUAUCAGUUUGUCUACGUGUUUGCGUGAAUUUCGUCCGGUUGGUUGAGUUGCUGUCAUAAUGUGUAAUUUGCGGGUCGCUAGUCGAUCUGCGGGCGGCUCGGGCGGUGUUGUGGGACAAAAAAACACAGCUCGUGUGAGCUCUUCUCCAACGUGUGCGCUGGAGGAUGCAUGACAGCAUGAGCACCCGAGCCAUUCCUCGUUCAUCGGUGGACAAAAGUGUCGCCAAUAUUUUGGCUACCCCAGGCAAGAUCCAAACAGCCCCUCCCAACAGAUUCAAAUCCCUCGUUCGCCAUGGAAUUUUGCCAUGUGUUGUUUUCAUGGACUAGCAACAUGCCCGUGCAUUGCACGGAACAUCAAGAUGCAUUUUUUUACAAACUCCCGCAUGCAUGCAAGGGAUAAUUAAUGUCCUUCUUUGCUAGUACCACGAGGCAAACACCAUUAAUAUUGCAUCGAUUAGUGUUAGUGGCCUUGUAUAUCUGCAAAUUGUAAUUUUGAUAGUGGCCCCUUGUAUAUAAAAAUGGAGGGAGAAAUAUGAGAGAUAAGGUGAGGAGGAGUGGGGCGUGGUGCCGUGGUGGUGACUAGUGGUCGGACUGGGCGGAGGCAUGGGGAUGGACGGCGCAUUAUGUCUAGGUUUGUAUCUCUCUCACACACACCCACGUAGGUGGGGGACGUGCACGAAGAGAAGUGGUGCACGCACGGCGCACGUACUACCGUCUCUUUCCCAACCACAUCCGUGCGGGUACACGGUGGAGCUCAUUUCUGUACGAAAAAGGCAGCCCACUUGGUAAUUUUGCACAUGUACUAGUUGUCCACUUGGUGGAGGGAGGAUCAUCUAUAACAAAUUGCGACUUGACGUGUUAUGUUAAAUUAAAAAAGAGUCAAACCAUGUGGGGCCUACCUUAGAGGCAAGGCUGUAUACACUGGAGUACUUUUGAUGUGUCCCGUCAACUCGCAGAACGAGGAGAAGCUUGCUUAGCACGCCGUCUCCCCCGCCCACGGGCGCCGUGGCUCGCAAGAUGAGGUGAAGCUUACUACUGCUGUACGCCUUUACGCCCACUCCCUCGCCCACGCGCGCGGUGGCUCGCAGCACGACGAGAAAAUUUUACUACUCCCUCCGUUUACUCCCCGUCCCUACUACGUACUUUGGUUAGUACUCCCUUCAUUUACUUAUACAAGGCCACUAUAGAAAAAUACAUUUUGCAUCUAUACAAGGCCACAAAUAGUAAUCGAGACAAAAGUUACUACUCCCUCCUUUCUAGGUAGACGGUGAGUGGUCGAAUUAAUUUCGUAGUUUGCACAGUACGCUCGUUUUUCUCAAGAACUUAUGUUUACCGAGGCAUUAAUUAGAACGGAUGCAUGAAUGACCACUAAAUUUCCAUGAACUUGUACAUGCAUUGGUUAGUUUCCUCUUGACACUGCUUGCGUCGGGUGAUCUAAUGCACCUCGAAAUCCAACAUGUAAUGGUACUACUACUAGUAUAGUAGAAUUGAGACUUAUCAAACGGAAAAACGAAUGUAUUUUAGAUGAGCCCUAUAAACCCUAGUGGGUACGUACUCCGUAAAAACAGAUUUUCCCAAAACUAAGUCGCUCCCUUUCAUGAAAUUCUGUAGUAUACUCCUCCGUCGACGCUCCCUUUCAUGAAUUAUGUACUUUCUGUCGCUGACAUGUGGGACAUAUAGCAACCGGGUCGACGUGUCAAGCACCAAAUAACAGUGCAGAACAUCAGGGGGACGCACCCCACUCGUACCGGCCUAGUAGUAGUAAUGAGCAAUGAGACGUCAAAUCACAAUGCCGCACCUUCCCAGACGGACGAAGCAACCAUUAUUUCACACUUCGGUUCGACAUCAUCUCAAACCACGUACUAGUAUUGCUUCUGCCUCAAGAGGGACACGCACAUCGCCUUGGUACAUCAUGACACGUGGGACCGCAUGACAGGCCAUGCUCCCCCGCCGAUCGCUCGGUAAAAUUACCUCAUUUUUACUAUACUUGCUCCGUAUCGGUUUACUACAUGGCAUGCACGUCGUUCUAGGUUAAGAAUUUAACUGGCUAUAUAUAUAUGUGAUGAACAGUACUCUAGCCUUUUAAAAAUGUAUACUUUUGUACAGUAGUACUAUCGAUGGAUUGCGCCAUGGAGCAAAAAUUGAAAUUUUAAAAAAAGGUGGUACAUAUAGAGAGCGCUCGUCGCCAAAUUAUGCAUAUAGUAGUAUUAAAAAAGCUAGUACGUGCUUAAUUGGGGUGCUAAAUUCUAUUAAAGAAAUACUAGUACUAGUAUGUACAUACUGAAGAGUUAAAGUAACGAGAAGAAACAUAACAUAGUUCUGCUGGGGGCUCAGCACAACACACCCCUCAAAUUAAACUAAGCACACCUGAAAUUAAACUAUGCAACUAAUCCGGUAGACACUACAUUAGAAGUUUAGAACCACCAUGAGCAACGACACUGCCACCUUACUCGGAGUCCUCGUCCACGUCCUCGACUUCGUCCUUGUCCCUCAUCCUCUUAGCCAAUACUUCUUUGCUUGAACCGCCAACUUGGCUGUUGCUCUUCAUCUAACCCUUGUAGAUAUUGAAACAAAGGUAGCCAUCCAUUGCAGCAUAGUGGAUGUGGUCUAUAUCUAGUACAUUCCGCUGCCAUGCAUGACGAUCAAACGUGUAAUGAGGUUUCUCCAGUUUACGGUACGAAGGAUGAACCAUGGCUCCUGCCAGGUUCAGCAUUGAGGGCUGGCGAGAGGGUACCAGCCGAUUCUUCUGGAGGUCGAAGGGGUUGCCUACGACGAGACCUAUCCAACCCAGGACUUCUUUGUCAUUCUUAAAGUCUACAGUAACGAAUUUCACUGUUUUGUCCUCGAGGAAGUUCUUAAAAUCCUGGCACUCAACGUCGGCAUGGCAUAUGUGGUAGACCAAGCAAACAUUAUGUACGCAAACCUGGAUCACGGCAGGCUUCUUCCUCUCUUCGUCCUUUAGAUCCUUCUCUCGUCCCACGACUGUGGUGUACUCAACAUCUAGCCCAGCGACGCACUCAUCAUCUGAGUUUUCGAACAUGCAUCUGAAGCGAGAAAGGCAUCCUUUCACCAUCGCGGAAGUAUGGGUGUAGAUGACGUCGAACUCAUUGCCGGUGAUGGUUCUAACCUUGUACUCACCGCCGAUCGGGGAGAUUUGGGACGCCAUUGAUUUGGGAGGAUGGUUAGGAUUAGUGGAACUGCCGUAAUGUGAAUGGACGGGAUGACUAGGAGUGAACCGCCGUAGUAUUAAAGGAUGUGCGGGGACGAGUAGGAGCGAACUGCCACCGUGCGAAUGACAGGGUAGUGGCUUUCCAUUCUCCCAUGAUACGGGCUUCCGAGAGCCCUUGGAUCUGAGAUCGAGUGGUUGCAUGGCGUGAUUCUAGACCUAUGGGUGAAUAUCCUAUCCUGGAGGGUUAUUCUGCAAAUUUUCAGCAACUUAGCAUGCGACCGUUUGAUCUCAGAUCCAAGGGCUGCCAGCAGCCCGUAUCAUGGUCGCGCCUACCACGACUGUCGCGUCGCUCGCGCGUUCGCGCCCUUGGAGAUAUAACACGGUGCGUUAGGCUAUCUGAUGUUGGCAUGUCAUACAUAGUCAUCACUUAGUCACUCAUACUACAACAAGGUUGGCUAUAAGGUUGGCUAUAAGUGUAUUUUUUUACUCCUCUCUAUCUCUUUCUUCGUACUCCCUCCGUCCCAUAAUAUAAGAACGCUUUUGAUACUAGUGUAGUGUCAAAAACGUUCUUAUAUAAUGGGACACAGGGAGUACUAGUAUUUAUUGCAUUUGCCAAGGAGUGACCUCUUCCAAUGAAAUGGUGUUGCUAAGUUUGCUUCAUUUAAUUAGCUAUAGACUCAAAAUUGUCUUUUCACCUAGGUACACGUGCUUAGCACCGUUUCUUCCUUGGGUCACCAAACUAGUCUCUCUCUUCUUCUUUAACUUGCCACAUCAGACUUUAUGCCUAUGUGGCAAGCUUAAGCACCUGUAGGAGCAAGUAAGUACAAUAGUGCGCUUUACAUGGCAUUUUUGCAUAUGUGGAGGAAAGAGAGGCAAGGAAAAAGUGGAGAAGUGGGCUCUCAUGCAAGAGCCAGCCUCUACUACAUGGUGGAGCAUUGGGAGAGGCACCUGUAUGGAGGUGGUCAGGAAUCAGGAGACUCACGCCGGUCGUGGCGCCGCAGUUAAAAUGAUAAUGGCAAGUCAAAUCACGGGGCCCCACCUGUCUAGCAGUAACUCGCUGUCAAAUCACACAGCCCUACCUUUGCAGUAGCCUACUCCCUCGUCUUCUCGCGUCUCUGUCGAACCGACUAGGCAGAACUGCCCCACCUACCACACAGGAAAAGCCCCGCCCUCGACUUUUAAAUACAACUACUCCCUCCGUCUAGGUGAGUAAGUCAUCUUACGAAAACCAAAUAAUCCCAAAAUACUACUCCCUGUUUCUUGUUUCUUCACAUAUCAACCAAUAAGAAUCCAAUGAUAUACCUUUUGUGACAUAGUAACUCAUAUUUAGUUAGUCAAAUGGAUGACCUAGAACUACGUGCAGGCCCUAUAAACCGAGACGCCUACAAAUAAAAAACCGAGACGGAGAGGGUAGUUCAGCACAUAUCUUUUUAGAUCAAUAUAGUCAUGAUUCACCAAGGAGCAAAACCAAGUGGUAGGUUGCUCCUGUCGUGUUGGCGUAGCAACUCAAGCAGGGUCAGUCCGCACACGAAAAGGCGACACACUUAACAGGACCCCUUUAGCAGACAUGUGGCUCAUCCACCGUCUUGUUCCACGUGCGAUGCACCAAAUUACAGUUCGGAGCAGCGGUUGGAAUUGGAGGCACCCCGGUCGUAGCGCCGCAGUAGUAGAAAAUGAGCGAUGAGGGGUCAAAUCACAAAGCCCCACCUUUCCCGCAUUAAGCUGGACGGAUGAAGCAACCAUCAUUUCACUCUAGCGCGCAAGAGCAUAAAGAAAACGGAAAACAAUGAUGCAUGCGGCAGCUACCUAGGGCACCCUAGGGUAGGGGUCUCCACUACAGAUCCUUUUUUUGAAAGCGCCUCCACUACAAAUCGGCUUCUCCCUCGUCCUCUUGAAGAAAACCGAUGAUGAGUGCGGCGGUAGGGUGUGUAGGAGUACUACGGCGUGCGGGGCCACGUCAUAGUAAACGGGUUCGAGUCGACGCCUUAAAUAUGUGUGGGCCGCUUGGUUUUACGGGAACGAGGAAGCAUUUUGGGUUCGGGGACCAGUGGAGAUAUAGCACGUACAAAAAAUUGUGGACGUAGGUUCGACCGAGAGGCAAUGAUGCAUGGGCCCUGCAUGUUGAUAUACCCGUGGCCGUGUGAAAUUUGCUACUCUACUGAAAACUAGUAAGGUACACAUGUAUUUAACGCAUGAGAUUUCGAAACCAAAUUAUGAAUAAAUACACACUAUAGCAUGUAAAGCUUCGAGUCAUAUAUGCAUGAUGUAGAUGUUCGUUUAGGUCUUAUAGCUCAUCUCAUUCAAAAUCAAUUAGUUUUAUAAAAAUGUUAAAGAUUCAUGGGGUUGUGCAUUUAUUGUAAAUCAUAAAGUAAAAACAAAUAAUGGCAAUUCAUUUACAAAAUAAUAAUCAAUUAUGAUACAAAAGAUUCUAGUACAAAGGAGAAGUGCUUGUGUUUUGAGGUUUGUGCAUUAUGCUUAAGUUCAACCAUGGAGUCUUCUAAAUUGUACAUGUGGGGUGGAAUGUUGAUGAUAUCCAAUGGCCAGUAGUGCUUGGAUUUGCCCAUCUCUGCACUGUCGGGUUAGCUUCAUCCAGCGAACAUCUUUCAAAGUUAUUGGCACACUAUAUAGUUCUUGUGCCAUAGUUGCAUGUUUUGGAAAAAAGCUAUUAGUGGUUUGUACUAUCUAUUUAGGAAUAGAAGAUGUAUACAUGGAAGUUGUAGGGAAAGAGAUGACAUGGAGCAUCUCAAUUCCUAUGAGUAGGGAUUGGAAAAGAGAUGUCAUUUGGUUCACAUCGUAGGAACUUUUCUAUUGAAUCUAGAAAUGACAUGUAUCCCAAUUCUUAUGAGGAGGGAUUAGUAAAGAGAUGUAAUUUGGUUCAUAUCAUAGGAACUUUUCUAUUGAAUAUACGCUAAUGUUUAUUUUCCUUUGAAAUUAAGGGAGUAUAGGAAUCCAUUCAUAUGAAUCAAGUGGCUCUAAAUCUAUAGAAAUGAUAUCAUGUUUAUUUGCUUUGAAAUGUAGAGUAUAUGAAUCUAUUCCUAUGAACCAAUUGGCUCUAAAGGAAAAAAAUCCUAUAAAGAUCAUAUCAUAUAGAGUUCGUAUGAUAUUCCUCGACACUAAAGGAUGGUUGAAAUUGCUGUGGGUGAUACGAUGGUCUUUCUUAGUAGACUCCUCACCCAUCUUUAUAGUUACCUCUCGAAGAUGAAUGAAAUGAUAUAUACAGGGUAUUCUACAUGUGCAAUUUGGUACACGGAAACUUGGUAAAAGUUUGCGAGGUUCUAAUUUUCAAUAAAGCUAUAUGCACUGCAUUUCGAAACGGAGGGAGCAUACGGCAGUUUCUAACACUCACGUGGAAGAUUUGUGUGUAGGAGGAGUGGCUGUUGUGUUAAAUGACAUGGCAAAACUGACACUGUCGGAUGCCGAUCUAACGGUUCUUACGGCGUUCGCCAGGAAAAGUCUUGUGGCGAACGUUUGUCGGAUAAUGAUUUACGGACACAUGCAUUGCAUUGAUACGUGCCCCCUCUCUCUCACGCACACGCACCCUCACGAGUCACAACUCUCCCGAGUCCUCUCGCAGACUCGCACGUCGCACGCAUCGUCUAUCUGCAGGUAGACGUCAUGCACAUAUGUGCUCUUCACACCCUACCCUCAGAACUUCUAAAAAACAAAAGACGGCACGCACAUUUUAUUUUAGCUCACACGUCACACACUUAUACUAUUAAUCUUGCGGCGAACGUUCUUUGGGCAUAGUAUAUAUUGUACUCUCAUGAAGGGAGGCGGUGCACGCACGCACUAGUUCUCUCACACCCACUCGCGGGUACACGUAGGAGCGCAUUUUUUUGAAGACGGUACAACAAAAUCACUCCACUAUAUAUAAAAGCAGGAGCCUUAGCGCUUGCUUUACUAGGGUUCCUCUCGUUCACUCUCUCAUGAUCUCCAGAUCUAAGCAAGACAUAGGUCGCCACACUCUCUCUCUCAGCUCACGGCUGGUCACAAAUCCGACCGGACAACCUCGACCGGGGCAGGGGGUGUAGGUGCAUCAUUCACGCUGUCGUCGGUGGCGAGGGAGGAGACCAACGGCUGCCCGCGCGUCCCAAUCGGCGGCCGUGCCGUUCUCUCAGAUAGAGCGCCGGCUCGGGAGGGCCUCCGACCCCUUCUUCCUCCCUGCGGUGUUGUGGCCAAGAUGCAGCCUCUCGACGAUACCUUUGCCACAUGCGGAUGACCCUCAGGUAUAUAUUCCUUCGAAACCUGCCUUGCUCUACUGCCCCAGCUCUUCCCCCUUCGUGUGGAUCCUUUUCUACUUCCGUCCGCUGUUCCAAAGCCACCUAGACUUCUACUAUUGUUAGAAGUAAAGCUAGUUCAUACAGUCAACUCAAAGCGUUGGUUCAAACAUGGAAGAAAGUGGGAAAGUUGUAGCAUGAAUCUAGGACUUGGUUCUAAGAGGAAACGAGGGAAAGUAGUAAUAUCUGUCACUGUUUAAAUAACCGUAUUUCGUAUUUGUGCAAAUAGGGAAGUUUGUCUCCAUAUCGUUUCGGGAUGUCUGUCUCCGUAUUGUUUCUAUCCGCGCAAUCAAAAGCACACACCUCAGUUUUAGUACAACUGCACAAAAUGAGAUGGCUAUCCCUCGUUGCCGUCGUCUAACCUCCUGUCUUCAAGGUAUCCCUACAUUGGUAGUAACUAAGGUAGAAUGACCAACACAAUCUAAAAGAAGCUGAUUCGUAUGUUUUACUUCCUGAUUGAAGUGCAGGGACGAGCGAAAACAAUUACAUCCUAGUCCGGAAUGCACUUUCUACCAGUUCAUCCAUGGACCGAGGACUAGCUGGCACGGCUGCACAACGGUUUUUUGGACAGGUGCGUAGACAAGAGGCAUUGUGGUCUGCUUAUUUCUGCAAAUAGCGG